GCAUAGCAUAGCGCAGCAUAGCAUAGCAUAGCAUAGCAUAGCAUAGCAUAGCGCAGCAUAGCAUAGCAUAGCAUAGCGCAGCAUAGCAUAGCAUAGCAUAGCGCAGCAUAGCAUAGCAUAGCGCAGCAUAGCAUAGCAUAGCAUUGCGCAGCAUAGCGUAGCACACAUAUGCUUACAGAUCGCAUAUGCUUGCAUACUGCAUAUAUAUGCAUAUAUAAAACAUAAAAACUUUGCAUAUGCAUAUGCAAAUAUAUGCACAUAUAUGCAUUGAAUUGCAUAUGCAUAUGCAUACGUGCAAUAUAUAAAACAAAAAACAUAAUCGCGCUGGGGGUCGAACUAGCGACCUUCCGUUCUUUUCGGCGCUGUCAUAAGCGCGUACGGCACGCUCCCGACCCGGAAUUUCCAAAACGCUCCGGACAACCGGACGGACAACCGGACGUAGUCGCUACGGCUACGGACAACCGGACGGACAACCGGACGGACAACCGGACAGCGAACUCGGGAUAGGCCUCCGCUCAUAACAUAUGAGCUACGGCGACCGGGUCCGGCGGGCCUGUCCCAACGGCAUAUCCAAGAUUGAUUGAUAGGCGAUGACUCCGGCCGCGUAUCUCGGAUGUGCCCUCGUGUCCAGCAUUGAUGCUGGGCGACUGUACGAUACUUCCGUUGGUACCGGUACAUAAGACCAGAGUGGUGCAUGUCUUUCUAUCUCAUCUUAGGAUGGAUCGGUAUUGUUAAGAAUAUGAAGGAGGCAAGGAGACUGGUUGCGAUAUAAGUAUUACAAUCGGUAGGUGAGUGGUAAACGGCAGGAAGACUUUAGGAGAUUCCUACUAAGGAAUACCGAUCUAUACAAAGAUGAGAUACCAAGACUUGCACAACUCGUGUCUUAUAUACCAGUACCAAUGGAAGUAUCGUACAGUCGUCCACCAUCCCUGGACCUGAGGACACGUCCGAGAUACGCGGCCGAGAGACACGAGGCAAGGUGGAGGUACGGCCGAGGCAAGGUCGAGGCACGUCCGAGGCAUCGCCUAUCACGGCGGAUUCAUCGCCUAACCUAUCUACGUUGGGAUAGGACCGCCCUUCAACAGGUAUUCCUUAACAGGAAUCUCCUAAAGUCUUCUUGCCGUUCACCAUUAACCCACAGACUGUAACCCUUAUGUCGCGACCAGUCUCCUUGCCUUCAUAUUCUUAACAAACCUCGUCUCCGUCGACGAGCAGCUGAGUCUGGCAGCCGCACUGAUCCUAUUCCUGCGGACCCACAAGAAGAAGAACGGCGUAUUGCUGAGGACAUCAUUCAUAAGGUCAACAAAUAUGCACUACCAUUGAGUACAACUCUACGAUGCAACCCUAUCAGCAUCUAUACGAAGGUUGGCAGCCGAGUCCUUGGGUUGGCUCAUCAGCACACCAGCCCUGGCAACCCCCAAUUGGUUGCAACCUGGGCCCACGUUUGGACCAGCAAGGCCUACGGUGGGCACCAUGCA
rnacentral:lncRNA from 1 species